rnacentral:rRNA from 1 species
AAACGAAUACAGAUCUGAAAUAAGAGAACCACAAAAUGCGAUAAGAAUGUGAAUUGCAGAAUUCAGUGAAUCAUCGAAUCUUUGAACGCACAUUGCGCCCGCCAGUAUUCUGGCGGGCAUGCCUGUUCUAGCGUCAUU